rnacentral:rRNA from 1 species
UGCCAGCCGCCGCGGUAAUACGAAGGGGGCUAGCGUUGUUCGGAAUUACUGGGCGUAAAGCGCACGUAGGCGGACUUUUAAGUCAGAUGUGAAAUCCCGGGGCUCAACCUCGGAACUGCAUUGGAUACUGGUAGUCUUGAGUCCCGGAGAGGAUAGCGGAAUUCCUAGUGUAGAGGUGAAAUUCGUAGAUAUUAGGAGGAACACCAGUGGCGAAAGCGGCUAUCUGGACGGUGACUGACGCUGAGGCACGAAAGCAUAGGUAGCAAACAGGAUUAGAUA